rnacentral:rRNA from 1 species
GGGGAAUAUUGGACAAUGGGCGCAAGCCUGAUCCAGCCAUGCCGCGUGAGUGAAGAAGGCCUUCGGGUUGUAAAGCUCUUUCAGACGGAAAGAAAACUUCUGGGCUAAUACCCUGGGAGGAUGACGGUACCGUAAGAAGAAGCACCGGCUAACUACGUGCCAGCAGCCGCGGUAAUACGUAGGGUGCGAGCGUUAAUCGGAAUUACUGGGCGUAAAGGGUGCGCAGGCGGUUUUGUAAGUCAGAUGUGAAAUCCCCGGGCUUAACCUGGGAAUUGCGUUUGAAACUGCACAACUAGAGUGGGGCAGAGGGGGGUGGAAUUCAAGGUGUAGCAGUGAAAUGCGUAGAGAGAUGGAAGAACAUGGAUGGCGAAGGCAGCCCCCUGGGCUAGCACUGACGCUCAUGCACGAAAGCGUGGGGAGCAAACA